GAUGAACGCUGGCGGCGUGCUUAACACAUGCAAGUCGAACGAACCUUCGGGUUAGUGGCGGACGGGUGAGUAACGCGUGAGAAUCUGCCCUCAGGAGGGGGAUAACGACUGGAAACGGUCGCUAAUACCCCAUAUGCCGAGAGGUGAAAUGAAUUUCGCCUGAGGAUGAGCUCGCGUCUGAUUAGCUAGUUGGUGGGGUAAAGGCCUACCAAGGCGACGAUCAGUAGCUGGUCUGAGAGGAUGAUCAGCCACACUGGGACUGAGACACGGCCCAGACUCCUACGGGAGGCAGCAGUGGGGAAUUUUCCGCAAUGGGCGAAAGCCUGACGGAGCAACGCCGCGUGAGGGAUGAAGGCCUCUGGGCUGUAAACCUCUUUUCUCAAGGAAGAAGAUCUGACGGUACUUGAGGAAUAAGCCACGGCUAAUUCCGUGCCAGCAGCCGCGGUAAUACGGGAGUGGCAAGCGUUAUCCGGAAUCAUUGGGCGUAAAGCGUCCGCAGGCGGCCUUGUAAGUCUGUCGUUAAAGCGUGGAGCUUAACCCCAUUUCAGCGAUGGAAACUACAAGGCUUGAGUGUGGUAGGGGCAGAGGGAAUUCCCGGUGUAGCGGUGAAAUGCGUAGAUAUCGGGAAGAACACCAGUGGCGAAGGCGCUCUGCUGGGCCAUAACUGACGCUCAUGGACGAAAGCCAGGGGAGCGAAAGGGAUUAGAUACCCCUGUAGUCCUGGCCGUAAACGAUGAACACUAGGCGUCGGGGGAAUCGACCCCCUCGGUGUCGUAGCCAACGCGUUAAGUGUUCCGCCUGGGGAGUACGCACGCAAGUGUGAAACUCAAAGGAAUUGACGGGGGCCCGCACAAGCGGUGGAGUAUGUGGUUUAAUUCGAUGCAACGCGAAGAACCUUACCAGGGUUUGACAUCCUGCGAAUCCCUUGGAAACGAGGGAGUGCCUUCGGGAACGCAGUGACAGGUGGUGCAUGGCUGUCGUCAGCUCGUGUCGUGAGAUGUUGGGUUAAGUCCCGCAACGAGCGCAACCCACGUCUUUAGUUGCCAGCAUUCAGUUGGGCACUCUAGAGAGACCGCCGGUGAUAAACCGGAGGAAGGUGUGGAUGACGUCAAGUCAUCAUGCCCCUUACAUCCUGGGCUACACACGUACUACAAUGCUACGGACAAAGGGCAGCAAACUCGCGAGAGCUAGCAAAUCCCAUAAACCGUGGCUCAGUUCAGAUCGUAGGCUGCAACUCGCCUACGUGAAGGAGGAAUCGCUAGUAAUCGCAGGUCAGCAUACUGCGGUGGAUACGUUCCCGGGCCUUGUACACACCGCCCGUCACACCAUGGAAGUUAGCCACGCCCGAAGUCGUUACUCCAACCCUUGUGGAGGAGGACGCCGAAGGUGGGGCUGAUGACUGGGGUG
rnacentral:rRNA from 1 species